rnacentral:rRNA from 1 species
UACGGGGGGGGCAAGCGUUGUUCGGAAUUACUGGGGGUAAAGGGCUCGUAGGCGGCCAAGUAAGUCAGACGUGAAAUCCCCAGGCUCAACCUGGGAACUGCGUCUGAUACUGGAUGGCUUGAAUCCGGGAGAGGGAUGCAGAAUUCCAGGUGUAGCGGUGAAAUGCGUAGAUAUCUGGAGGAAUACCGGUGGCGAAGGCGGCAUCCUGGACCGGCAUUGACGCUGAGGAGCGAAAGCCAGGGGAGCAAACGGG